rnacentral:lncRNA from 1 species
UCAAUACUGAAAGAGAGUAAAUUACCUGCUGAAGUAAUAGCAGACUGUGCUCAUCCUUGUAGUAUAGAGAAUGUGUUGGAUCCAACUUCAUCAGCUCGGUGUAAAGCUUGAGAACUUCUUCGGUAUGAUUUUUUCUUUUAUCAUGUUGGGGUGAUAACAAAUCAAGAGCGAUCAAAAGUCUUGCAAGUGUAAGCUUUCUAAUUUUACUACAAAAGUCAAACAGAGCACAACAUCAAAUUGAAAUAUAACUGGAAAUAAUGGAAAAGAACUUACUAGGUGGCAUCUCAAACCAUAAAGCAAUACAUUUAUCGGAUGCACCUUACCAGUCUGACAAAUCUUGAAAAUUAGUUAUUUCUUCAUCAAUUGCCUCCAUGCACCAAUUGGAAGUUGUUGGAAUAUGGUGAUCAGCAGAUACAGCGGGAUUUGAUUCUUCAAAAUGAUCAAUUUUUCGGAAAUCAUUGUCCUUCCAUGAAGUCAACUUUCCACGUUGCCCAUCAACAGGUUCUGUAUAAGCAGUCUGCACACACACUUCAAAAGUAAUUUGGGAAGGAGCCCCAUAAUGAUAUCCAUUUGAAGAUAAAAUACCCAUGGAAUGUCCAAUGUUGAUCUCUAUAGAAUAGGUUUUUGAUAGUUGGAGCUUCAUAUUUCCCAUGUUUAGGUACACAACCCAAACUUGAGCAGUACUUGAGUUAUUUGUAGAAAGUGGUUUCCAAACAAGAUCUUCCUUCAAGAGCUCAGAUUUAACAACCACUGUAGACGAGUUGACACCUUCAACAGCUUGAUUGAAACAUAGAAUUACUGGAAGUGUUUUUGUGUCUGAUAAUGUACUAUUCAACAGAGACAAACCAGAACCAUGUAGGGAGUUGUUUCCAUUCAGUGUUAUAUUAGCUCCAUGAGAUGGCCAAGAUGAAACGAGCAGAGGAGCAUCAUUUUUCACGGUUUGAUCAAUAAGCCAAAGAUGAUAAAACCAACCACUCUGAUCAUCUGAAUCAGUAAAAAUAGCACUGUGGACAUACUUAUACUCCUCUUGCAAAACCUUUUCUUUAUGGGAAAAUCCUUCGGCCUUUCUUUUAAAUAAAGUAGAUAAAAG